rnacentral:piRNA from 1 species
UUCCAUGGAGACAUAUAGUUUGGUCCUCAA